GCACCUCAAGUGGUCAGGAUGAUUAUUGGGCCUAAAGCAUCCGUAGCCGGCGCUGUAAGUUUUCGGUUAAAUCUGUACGCUCAACGUACAGGCUGCCGGGAAUACUGCAGCGCUAGGGAGUGGGAGAGGUAGACGGUACUCGGUAGGAAGGGGUAAAAUCCUUUGAUCUAUUGAUGACCACCUGUGGCGAAGGCGGUCUACCAGAACACGUCCGACGGUGAGGGAUGAAAGCUGGGGGAGCAAACCGGAUUAGAUACCCGAGUAGUCC
rnacentral:rRNA from 1 species